rnacentral:rRNA from 1 species
UGUUUAAUUUUCUGGAUUAGCGGCGGACGGGUGAGUAACACGUGGGUAACCUGCCUCAAAGUGGGGGAUAGCCUUCCGAAAGGAAGAUUAAUACCGCAUAAUAUAGGAGAAUCGCAUGAUUUUCUUAUCAAAGAUUUAUUGCUUUGAGAUGGACCCGCGGCGCAUUAGCUAGUUGGCAAGGUGACGCUUACCAAGGCAACGAUGCGUAGCCGACCUGAGAGGGUGAUCGGCC